GCCCCAGAAAAAAUUUGAGGUGUAACCUGCCCAGUGGUUUUUAAUAAGUAGAAAUAAUAAUUCUUAAAAAAAACUAAAAGGACGCGGUAACCUUGACCGUGAUAAUGUAGCAUAAUCACUCGCCAUUUAAUUGAUGGAUAGUAUGAAUGGUUGAACGAAUAUUCCCCUGUCUUAGACAAAAUAAUAAAAAAUUGAAAUAAUAGUUAAGAUGCUAUUUUUUACUGUAAGACGAAAAGACCCUAUAGAGCUUAACUAUAACCUUUUUAUAUAAAAAGAAAAUAAAUUCUAUACUUAAAAAGGUUGGUAGUUUAGUUGGGGCGACUGUCUUCUAUAUUGAACGAAGACAAGCAAUGUUAAUAAAAAACUUAUUGUAUAACAAAAAUGUUUAACAAUUAUAAAAAUAGGCUAUAAUGACCCGUUAAUACUUAAUAAAAAGAAUAACGAUUAAUUAAUAAAAGCUACCUUAGGGAUAACAGGAUUAUUUCAUUUCAGAGUUCAUAUCGAAAAUGAAGUUUGUCACCUCUAUGUUGAAUUAAGAUAUCCUGAUAAUGCAGAAGUUAUCAAAGGUAGGUCUGUUCGACCUUUAAAAUCUU
rnacentral:rRNA from 1 species